CAGUAGCCGCGGUAAUACGUAGGGUGCGAGCGUUAAUCGGAAUUACUGGGCGUAAAGCGUGCACAGGCGGUUGUGUAAGACAGGUGUGAAAUCCCCGGGCUUAACCAGGGAACUGCGCUUGUGACUGCACAGCUAGAGUAUGGCAGAGGGGGGUGGAAUUCCACGUGUAGCAGUGAAAUGCGUAGAGAUGUGGAGGAACACCGAUGGCGAAGGCAGCCCCCUGGGCCAAUACUGACGCUCAUGCACGAAAGCGUGGGGAGCAAACAGGAUUAGAUACCCCGGUAGUCCCUGUCUCUUAUAC
rnacentral:rRNA from 1 species